AAUGGCACUGGAAGAAUUCACGGGGAAUAAAAACGCCCGUGAUUCCCCGGUGCCAUCCC
rnacentral:pre_miRNA from 1 species